CCGCCUGGCUGCCCUCAGCAGGGGGCUCGCACGCACUCAUACCCCAGCCAACUUUGUAGCAUUGGGGUGAGAGCUAGGACGGGGUGGAGGGACAGUGGCACCGAAUGCCGGACGGUGCAGGAGCCGGGCGCAACGCGGCACACAAGGACCCAGACAUUCCCAUCCUGGCAGGUGACAUGAUACCCUUGAAGCAUUUUCCAUGGAAUGGGACAUAAUAAGAGGGGUCAGAGGCUUCCCAAAUCAGCAGACAGGCUGAAGGAUCCUGUGGAUGGCCUGGGCUCUGAUGGGCAGUGCGUCUGCUCCACGCGAUGCUCAACGUGCAUCCACUGGACUGGACGUCCGAGCAGCUCACUCACUGGGCUGACGGCUGGCACUGGCCAUUGCUGGGAGCGCAGCUGAGACUUUUGACCAGAGCACCUCAGUUCCCUCUCCUGGGGCCUUGCCGUGUGGUUCCAGCUUCUAAAAUUAGGGUACCUGAAUUCCUUGAGAAAGAAAUAGAAGCUUCCAACCUUCUUAAGACCCGGUUCAGAAGUCCCAGCUGUCAUCCUAUUGGCCAGAGUGGGGAAAGGGCCUGACUGGACUUGAGCUUGGGAAACAAGCUCCGUCUCUGGAUGGGAGGGAGGACUGGCAGGUGCCUCAGGGAGGGCAUCGUUGCUGGGGACCAUCUUUGGAGCUUAGGAGGUUGGUGUCCACUUGAGGAAGACGGCUCUGGUUGCUGUGAAGAGGAGGCUGUGCAGUCAGAGUCCACCAGCCCUUCUCACGCUGACUUCAGCCUCUGCAUCAAAGGCCUGCCCACUCAGGGCUUCUGGGUGUGAGCACUGAGUGAGCAGGAUUCAAGACCUCCCUGUGGCCAGCAUCUUCAUAAACAGGCCACAGAAGUUUGCUUCAUUUUGAUCCUUGGCUUCUGCCCCCAGCUCCUCCACAAACCAGAAUGUGGCUGCUCCAUAGAAGCGGCCCACGCUUGACCCCCCAGCUCGGAUCCUGCAGUUCAGCGCCAACGCGAGCAAUUUAGCGCCAACUGUCACAUUUGUCCAGCAUGGUGCUGUGAGGAUAUUCAUCAGCAUGGGGCUUGGAAAGUCUAGAACAGGUCCCCUAGUGAGUCUCUCUGAGGGAAUAGAUAGGAACACUGUGGUGUGUGCACAAGGUGGAGUACUAUGCAGCAGUGAAAACUGAAUGAAAAUGCAGCAACAUGAACAGAUUCUAGACAUUUGACAUUUAGAGCCAAGGUGGGGGCAGCGUAGUGCUGAUGGUGCAAGCAGAGGCUCUGGAGCUGCUGAGGGUUCCAAUCCCUCCUCCCCCAGUGGCCAUGACCUUGGGCAAGUCACUUACCGUCUCUGAGAUACUUACAUCCUCAGAAAUAUGCAGGCAGGAAGGUAGGCUCACUCUAUGGAUGGUUGGUUGCUACUCACCUUUUCCACGUACAAAUGGGAGGGGCAGAGAAGGGCACGAAGAGAAUGUGGAGUGCUGGCCCUGAGUAUGACAAGCCACUACUUAAUGAUAACUAACUGGACCUCAGGGGAGACAGCCACAGCUAGGUGACCAUACGUCCCGGGACAGAACAGAUCCAUGCCUAGUGUCCCAGCUUCUUAUCCCGCUUAGACAAAGAUGGGCAAAGAAAGUGGCUUUACAGAAGGGAGAGACAGACACAGAGAGGACAACGCCACCUCAGGACACUGAGAGACACAGAAAGAAGGCAUGUGACAGCAGAGGCAGAGAUCAGAGCGAUGGCGCUAUCUGCCAAGGAAAGCCAAGCGGCAGAAAGAGGAACCUGGAAAAAAAGCUCAAGACGGAUGCUCCCCCAAGUCUCCAGAAGGACCAGCCUGCCGACACCUAGAUGCCGGCUUCUGGCCUGCAGAGCUGUGAGGGAAUCAACCUCUGUUGUUUGAACCCCUCUAGUUAGUGGUGCUUGUGAAUGGCAGUCCUAGGAAACCAAUAGAGAUUUAGGCCAUCUCAAUGUAUGUACUUGUUAAAGAUGUGACAUUAUAAGUC